rnacentral:sRNA from 1 species
CCAGCUCCGCAAUGGGAGCCGCCGCCGUCGCCGCAGUGUAGUUUUUCGUGCUCCUCCUUUUCCUCCUCCUCUUUCUCCUCCUCCUCAGGGCUCCAGUCAGGCCGAUCCGCUCCGCUCACGUCGUAGGAAAGGAGACCAAAGGGGAUUCGGGAUUUGCAGGCACAGGGCCCCUCAUUUUGCCCAGAUGACCGGUCGUUCCACGUUUGCACUCUCAUUUUUGUCAAAGGGACCUCCCCUGCACUGCCAUAGAAUUCCCGUUAUUGUCUACAGAAGAAGGGCCCUGAGGAGAAACGUGGAGUUGGAGACAAAAUUUUCUGAGCUUUGCAAGGUUCACUUACUGAGACGGAAAGAAUGAUCUCACUCUGAGGUUUUAGCCUGCUCCAGCGAUGGAAGGAGUUCCAACUUAUCUCAAGUUUUAACGCUUUUAAGGAGAAAUCUGCUGGAGAGGAAAAACGUCAAGGUGAACCCGCUUCUGCAAGCACGGGAGACCUUUGGCCAAAGGCCUUUGUUUGCGAAGAUUUGUUUAAAAAAAAAAAAAA